AAAAAUAAUAAUAAUGAAAAAGUUUGCAAACGUGUCUGUUAGUGACAGAGGACAAACAAUUACAGGUUCAAUGGGCUUGAAACAGGUUGAAUAUCCUGUGUCGCCUGUAACCUAG